UGCCCAGCAACUCCUAUCCCUAUAUCCUCGUGGUACCGACCGGAAGCUACGAGCAACCUUAGGGAAGAUCGGGUAACCAACAACGGUGGGAACUUUGGUCGUAGGCUGGCAGGGAAGG
rnacentral:ribozyme from 1 species